GAUGAACGCUGGCGGCGUGCCUAAUACAUGCAAGUCGAGCGAACAGACGAGGAGCUUGCUCCUCUGACGUUAGCGGCGGACGGGUGAGUAACACGUGGAUAACCUACCUAUAAGACUGGGAUAACUUCGGGAAACCGGAGCUAAUACCGGAUAAUAUAUUGAACCGCAUGGUUCAAUAGUGAAAGACGGUUUUGCUGUCACUUAUAGAUGGAUCCGCGCCGCAUUAGCUAGUUGGUAAGGUAACGGCUUACCAAGGCGACGAUGCGUAGCCGACCUGAGAGGGUGAUCCGCCACACUGGAACUGAGACACGGUCCAGACUCCUACGGGAGGCAGCAGUAGGGAAUCUUGCGCAAUGGGCGAAAGCCUGACGGAGCAACGCCGCGUGAGUGAUGAAGGUCUUCGGAUCGUAAAACUCUGUUAUUAGGGAAGAACAAAUGUGUAAGUAACUCUGCACGUCUUGACGGUACCUAAUCAGAAAGCCACGGCUAACUACGUG
rnacentral:rRNA from 1 species